UACGAAGGGGGCUAGCGUUGCUCGGAAUCACUGGGCGUAAAGCGCACGUAGGCGGCUUAUUAAGUCAGGGGUGAAAUCCUGGAGCUCAACUCCAGAACUGCCUUUGAUACUGAUGAGCUUGAGCUCGGGAGAGGUGAGUGGAACUGCGAGUGUAGAGGUGAAAUUCGUAGAUAUUCGCAAGAACACCAGUGGCGAAGGCGGCUCACUGGCCCGAUACUGACGCUGAGGUGCGAAAGCGUGGGGAGCAAACAGG
rnacentral:rRNA from 1 species